rnacentral:rRNA from 1 species
UACGAAGGGGGCUAGCGUUGCUCGGAAUGACUGGGCGUAAAGGGCGCGUAGGCGGUUUGGACAGUCAGGCGUGAAAUUCCCGGGCUUAACCUGGGGGCUGCGCUUGAUACAUCCAGGCUUGAGUGGGGAAGAGGGUCGUGGAAUUCCCAGUGUAGAGGUGAAAUUCGUAGAUAUUGGGAAGAACACCGGUGGCGAAGGCGGCUCACUGGACCGGUACUGACGCUGAUGCGCGAAAGCGUGGGGAGCAAACGGG